CCGGGUGUAGCGUCAUUUGAGAACACAUUCGGUUUGGGACCGAAAGACAGCAGGUUUGAAUUCCGCCACCCCGACCA
rnacentral:tRNA from 1 species